UGAGCUGCUCGUCAAGGUCUUGUC
rnacentral:misc_RNA from 1 species